UAGUAGGGAGAAGUUGCGGCUCUCAUCAAGGUCCAGACGAGGCAGUAGAGUUUGAGAGCAGUGAGGAUCACACAAAGGAUCAGGAACGAUGACAAGUGAUGGGAUGUCAGGUCCACAUCAGGCUCUCCAGUUCAAGUGCAUCCUUGUUUCGGCUGGCUGAAUCCCUGUUCAUUUGCUCUAUUAUUUAUACUAAAUUUUGGGGCUUUUGAUCCCUCUUUGAAUCCUUAUCAGCUACUACCAGAUUUCUCAGUGACAUCAUUUACCCUGGGGUCAGAAACAUCUCCUGCCAGGGGCUUCACUCUGUUUAUCAGGUGAGGGGAAGUAACUUGUCUGAGGCCAUACUGGAGGACUCUGUGGGCUCGCCUAGUCAGACUGCAGGUUUCAAACUGGAGUUUUUAAAAUGGAGUUGCUUAGGCUCGGACCUAAGACCAUCCUCACAAAGAGAGAUCUCUUCUGGGGACAGUGAGGUGCCUGGCAAGGCACAUACACACUCCUGUCUAGGACAGUGGCAAAGUGUUGCACUGUCCUCUGGAAUUGAUCUGGUGUGGAAUUCCUUCUGGGGACAGGGAGGUAUCUGGUGAGGCACAUACAGACAUCCCCUCUGCAGGCUAAGUUCAAAGGUCUUAAGCCUUAGGUUUUAUGUCCAGCAGAUCCACACUCACUGUCUAGGAUGGUAGUAAAGUGUCGCACUGUCCUCUGGUCUGGUGGGGACAGUGAGGUGUCUGACAAGGCACAUACGCAC
rnacentral:lncRNA from 1 species